AUGACGGCAACUACCUCGUCGGCGGCGACGUGUUCAGGCGCAAGCAGAGCGGCGGCUACAAGAGCUCAAGAGGCCAGGAGAGUGAGGAGAGAGGAUGAGGGGCUCACCGCGCGGCGCAAGAAAGGCCCGUGGGAGGUACGAGAUUGCUCUCACCAGAUUUGGUCUUGCUGGCAUCGCCGUCAUGGGGCAGAAACCCUCAACACUGCAGAGAAUGGCUUCCCCAUCUCUGUCUACAACAGGACAACCUCCAAGUGCCUCUGGUUGAUGCAGGUGCACAUAAGUGUUCUUGACGACAUGGUCUCCUUUUCGGCAUGUGCAAGUGUCGGGUGGUGCUCGCCUACAUGGUUACUGGCAAGCUACAGUUCAGGUGGGCGCUCUAGCUCUCCCUUCUCAUGCUAUACAUCCAGGUACACCCUUCCAUCGGGAGGUCGAUCUAAUCACGGUGCAGAGGGCCAUGGUUUCAGGCCAAACCAGACAACUGUUGUUUAUCAGACAAGAUGCAGAUGGAUCAUUGGAGAUGUGACCGAGGUGUUUGAUCAUAACACAUGGAAGCUUGGCAAAAUCGCAAAGAUUGUCAAGAACGAUUACUUUGUUAUCAGGCUAGCUGAUUGCAUCCAGCUCAAAGAGUUCCACAUUUCUAGCUUGAGGGUUCCACUUGGACAUGAUGCCCCCAUAGCUCCUCCUUAUGGCAAGCAGUUUCCUGCAGCUGACAACAAGGCUACCGCAAAUGCACACCUAAAACCCUUAUCUCUGGAGGUUGGAAGGCCGAAUCUAGGGGGGCCCGUAUACCGGUCAAACCUUGUCGGAGCAAACACGCCGCUGCGGAGUUUGCCGGAAUCCGCCCUAAACUCGUCGGAAUUCAUCACCGCACACCGGAAAAGGCUGCUAGGCGCCGCAAUCGAUCGCCGCCGGUUCGAAUUGGACGAUCUCGACAUAGCCAUGGCCUCCCAUGACCUCAGCCUGGCCGCCGGAAUCCUCCCGGCACGGCAGGCAAAGGGGCACGACUCGGCUGGCAAUAGAGUAAGGCGCGGACGGCGGAGGCGGAGCUCAAACGAUAAUGGGAAGAAGGAGAAAGGUGGACACAGGAGGUUUCCAGCGCUCAUACACCGCCGCACAUACGGCCUCGUAUUUUCUCCUCGAGAAACAACUCGAGCCACGCACCUGUUACAACGUCACCGUGUAGAUUUAUACCCAAGGUCAGCGACCGGGCACACACCCACGCUCUUGCUCCCUCGCGCCCACGAUCCGUCCGCCUCGCUCGCGGCAGCGACGCGCUCCAACGCACAGCUCACGGCGGGCCUCCAACAGAUCAUGCACGAGCUCCCCGCACGGCUCGCCAACAGUCCAGGCCUACUACGACGCGUCCUAUGGGCUCAAGCAUCCAUUUUGCAGACAAAAACAUCAUUGUCAAAACCGGCAUCCAUUUUGCAGACAGAAUCAUCAUCGGAAAACCAAAGCAUCCAUUUUGCAGACACAAUGCUCAACCCAGAACAACCCGCUCUUGGGCAACCAUCGUCAUCUGUUUCUGUACAUUACUCCCCCAAUUUAGCUAAUCUUAAGACAUGUUCAAAACUAAAGUUCUCCCUGAAACAGGGGCUUGAGUCCACAGGGCAUCUAUUUUGUAGACAGAAUCAUCAUCAGGUUCCCCCUCAAACAGGGGGCUUGAAUCCACAGAGCAUCCAUUUUGCAGAAAGAAUCCUCAUUGCCAAACAAAAUGAGCAAGCAUGA
rnacentral:rRNA from 1 species